CCUACGGGAGGCAGCCGUAGGGAAUCUUUCACAAUGGGCGAAAGCCUGAUGGAGCAACGCCGCGUGCAUGAUGAAGGCCUUCGGGUUGUAAACUGCUUUUAUAAGCGAGAAAUAUGAUGGUAACUUAUGAAUAAGGAUCGGCUAACUACGUGCCAGCAGCCGCGGUCAUACGUAGGAUCCGAGCAUUAUCCGGAGUGACUGGGUGUAAAGAGUUGCGUAGGUGGCAUAAUAAGUAGCUAGUGAAAUCUGGUGGCUCAACCAUUCAGACUAUUAGCUAAACUGUUAAGCUCGAGACCGUUAGGGGUAACUGGAAUUUCUAGUGUAGGAGUGAAAUCCGUAGAUAUUAGAAGGAACACCAAUAGCGUAGGCAGGUUGCUGGGACGGUUCUGACACUAAGGCACGAAAGCGUAGGGAGCAAACGGGAUUAGAUACCCGGGUAGUC
rnacentral:rRNA from 1 species